AGUGAACGCUGGCGGUAGGCCUAACACAUGCAAGUCGAACGGCAGCACAGGAGAGCUUGCUCUCUGGGUGGCGAGUGGCGGACGGGUGAGGAAUACAUCGGAAUCUACCUUUUCGUGGGGGAUAACGUAGGGAAACUUACGCUAAUACCGCAUACGACCUACGGGUGAAAGUGGGGGACCGCAAGGCCUCACGCGAUUAGAUGAGCCGAUGUCCGAUUAGCCAGUUGGCGGGGUAAUGGCCCACCAAGGCGACGAUCGGUAGCUGGUCUGAGAGGAUGAUCAGCCACACUGGAGCUGAGACACGGUCCAGACUCCUACGGGAGGCAGCAGUGUGGAAUAUUGGACAAUGGGCGCAAGCCUGAUCCAGCCAUACCGCGUGGGUGAAGAAGGCCUUCGGGUUGUAAAGCCCUUUUGUUGGGAAAGAAAUCCUGUCGAUUAAUACUCGGUGGGGAUGACGGUACCCAAAGAAUAAGCACCGGCUAACUUCGUGCCAGCCGCCGCGGUAACAC
rnacentral:rRNA from 1 species